GUUGCGAAUGCAGGUGGAACUACAGACUAUUAAUCUCGGUGUCGCGGGUUCGAGUCCCGUCGGCCUCCGUCAGGAAGCCGUAGCUCAGUGGUAGAGCACGAUGUUUCACCAAAAACUUGUCGCAGCAAG
rnacentral:Y_RNA from 1 species